GGCUCAGGAUGAACGCUGGCGGCGUGCCUAACACAUGCAAGUCGAACGGAGUGUUGCGCUGAUUUGAUGUUAGCUUGCUAAUGGAUUUUCUUGUAACACUUAGUGGCGGACGGGUGAGUAACGCGUGAGUAACCUGCCUUACAGAGGGGGACAACAGUUGGAAACGACUGCUAAUACCGCAUGAUGUCAUCGAGGGACAUCCCUUGGUGACCAAAGCUUUAUGUGCUGAAAGAUGGCUUCGCGUCUGAUUAGCUAGAUGGCGGGGUAACGGCCCACCAUGGCAACGAUCAGUAGCCGGACUGAGAGGUUGAACGGCCACAUUGGGACUGAGAUACGGCCCAGACUCCUACGGGGAGGCAGCAGGUGGGGAAUAUUGGGCAAGUGGGGGAAACCCUGACCCAGCAACGCCGCGUGAAGGAAGAAGGCCUUCGGGUUGUAAACUUCCUUUUAGCAGGGACGAAGGACGUGACGGUACCUGCAGAAAAAGCAACGGCUAACUACGUG
rnacentral:rRNA from 1 species